UACGUAGGGGGCGAGCGUUGUCCGGAAUCAUUGGGCGUAAAGCGCGUGUAGGCGGCUCGAUAAGUCCGGUGUGAAACCUUGGGGCUCAACCCCAAGCCUGCACUGGAUACUGUCGAGCUCGAGUCCGGGAGGGGAGAGCGGAAUUCCUAGUGUAGCGGUGAAAUGCGCAGAUAUUAGGAAGAACACCGGUGGCGAAGGCGGCUCACUGGCCCGAUACUGACGCUGAGGCACGAAAGCGUGGGGAGCAAACAGG
rnacentral:rRNA from 1 species